AGUCGAACGAUGAACCGGUGCUUGCACUGGGGAUUAGUGGCGAACGGGUGAGUAACACGUGAGUAACCUGCCCUUAACUCUGGGAUAAGCCUGGGAAACUGGGUCUAAUACUGGAUAUUGACUUUUCCUCGCAUGGGGUUUGGUUGAAAGAUUUUUUGGUUUUGGAUGGACUCGCGGCCUAUCAGCUUGUUGGUAUGGGUAAUGGCCUACCAAGGCGACGACGGGUAGCCGGCCUGAGAGGGUGACCGGCCACACUGGGACUGAGACACGGCCCAGACUCCUACGGGAGGCAGCAGUGGGGAAUAUUGCACAAUGGGCGAAAGCCUGAUGCAGCGACGCCGCGUGAGGGAUGACGGCCUUCGGGUUGUAAACCUCUUUCAGUAGGGAACAAGGCCACACGUGGUGUGGUUGAGGGUACUUGCAGAAGAAGCGCCGGCUAACUACGUGCCAGCAGCCGCGGUAAUACGUAGGGCGCAAGCGUUAUCCGGAAUUAUUGGGCGUAAAGAGCUCGUAGGCGGUUUGUCGCGUCUGCCGUGAAAGUCCGGGGCUCAACUCCGGAUCUGCGGUGGGUACGGGCAGACUAGAGUGAUGUAGGGGAGACUGGAAUUCCUGGUGUAGCGGUGAAAUGCGCAGAUAUCAGGAGGAACACCGAUGGCGAAGGCAGGUCUCUGGGCAUUAACUGACGCUGAGGAGCGAAAGCAUGGGGAGCGACAGAUA
rnacentral:rRNA from 1 species